UGAUUGAUACUUAUUCACAUCCCCUUGAUACAUGUAUAACAAUUUCUGACUAAUAAAUGAUUUGCUGUCAGCCAUAAACUAGAAGUAUUUGCUUUCUAAAUUACAAGUUAAUGUUGGAGGAUUCAUCAUAAUACGUGGACAGUCAGCCUGGUGUGUUUGAAAAAUUAUACAUAUUGUACAAAUAAGCAAUAUUAGAUCAGUUUCUGUCGCCCUCCAUUUUAAGCUGGUCUAUAAUGCAUGUAGAGGAAUGUCUUAGAAAUAAGACCUCAUUAUUGCGUGAGUUGAAUGCCCAUUUGAUCACUCACACAGAGUAAUCUAUGUCCAUAGCCUUGUAAAAUCUUAUUCAUCCAUAAGGAAGAUUGAUGCACUCAUGAACUGUAAUUCUUGUGUAGACCAAGGCACCAUGUAUGAACACCUUUUAACAUUACAUGAAUAUUUUCUUAUCAGCAAUAUUAUUUUUUGGUCCAGACCCUCCAAGCUUGCUUGAUACCAUCCCUCUGGUACCUACAUUCUGAGUUCUGAUAGUUUUUUUGUUUGAUUUCUUAUUGAUGUUCAUAUAUGCUCUAUAAAAAGCUAAUCAUAUUGUUUCAUUUUUUAAGUCCAACCAUGACCUAGCUACCAAUGAAAACAGACUUUCAGCAAAAGAGAUGACAAUUCUAUGAUUUGUUUAAUUUUUGCAUGUUAGAUGCUUGACAUUCUUGCUUCUAGGAACCCCUCUGCUCCUCAUCUGCCUCGUGAUUGGGGCAUGAUUGCAGUAGAACUAGAUUCUGGCUGCUAGGUUUUUUGUGUGAAUUAUAGGACAU
rnacentral:lncRNA from 1 species